rnacentral:rRNA from 1 species
AACCAAUUGAAAGCCUAGCUUUCAUGAGGUUAGCGGCGGACGGGUGAGUAACACGUGGGUAACCUGCCCUAUAGACUGGGAUAACUCGCGGAAACGCGUGCUAAUACCGGAUAACACAUCAAAGUGCAUGCUUUGAUGUUGAAAGAUGGUUCUGCUAUCACUAUAGGAUGGGCCCGCGGCGCAUUAGCUUGUUGGUGGGGUAACGGCCUACCAAGGCGACGAUGCGUAGCCGACCUGAGAGGGUGAUCGGCCACACUGGGACUGAGACACGGCCCAGACUCCUACGGGAGGCAGCAGUAGGGAAUCUUCCACAAUGGGCGAAAGCCUGAUGGAGCAACGCCGCGUGAGCGAAGAAGGUCUUCGGAUCGUAAAGCUCUGUUGUAAGGGAAGAACAAGUGCAGUAGUAACUGGCUGCACCUUGACGGUACCUUACUAGAAAGCCACGGCUAACUACGUGCCAGCAGCCGCGGUAAUACGUAGGUGGCAAGCGUUGUCCGGAAUUAUUGGGCGUAAAGCGCGCGCAGGCGGUUUCUUAAGUCUGAUGUGAAAGCCCCCGGCU